UACGUAGGGCGCAAGCGUUGUCCGGAAUUAUUGGGCGUAAAGAGCUCGUAGGCGGCUUGUCACGUCGGGUGUGAAAGACCGGGGCUUAACCCCGGUUCUGCAUUCGAUACGGGCUGGCUAGAGUGUGGUAGGGGAGAUCGGAAUUCCUGGUGUAGCGGUGAAAUGCGCAGAUAUCAGGAGGAACACCGGUGGCGAAGGCGGUUCUCUGGGCAUUACCUGACGCUGAGGAGCGAAAGUGUGGGGAGCGAACAGG
rnacentral:rRNA from 1 species